rnacentral:misc_RNA from 1 species
UCCGGUUUGUCACCGGCAGUCUCAUUAGAGUGCCCAACUAAAUGUAGCAACUAAUGACAAGGGUUGCGCUCGUUGCGGGACUUAACCCAACAUCUCACGACACGAGCUGACGACAGCCAUGCACCACCUGUGCACGAGCCCCGAAGGGCUGCCGUAUUUCUACGACAUUCCCCUGCAUGUCAAGCCUAGGUAAGGUUCUGCGCGUUGCGUCGAAUUAAACCACAUGCUCCACCGCUUGUGCGGGCCCCCGUCAAUUCCUUUGAGUUUCAGCCUUGCGGCCGUACUCCCCAGGCGGGGCACUUCACGCGUUAGCGCCGGUACCCCGGGGGUCGCUCCCCAGAGCACCUAGUGCCCAUCGUUUACGGCGUGGACUAC